rnacentral:piRNA from 1 species
UGGCUGGUUAUAUGUGUAUUAUGCAAAG